CCUACGGGGGGCAGCAGUGAGGAAUAUUGGUCAAUGGACGAGAGUCUGAACCAGCCAAGUAGCGUGAAGGAUGACUGCCCUAUGGGUUGUAAACUUCUUUUAUAAAGGAAUAAAACGAGGCACGUGUGCCUUUUUGCAUGUACUUUAUGAAUAAGGCUCGGCUAACUCCGUGCCAGCAGCCGCGGUAAUACGGAGGAUCCGAGCGUUAUCCGGAUUUAUUGGGUUUAAAGGGAGCGUAGAUGGGUUGUUAAGUCAGUUGUGAAAGUUUGCGGCUCAACCGUAAAAUUGCAAUUGAUACUGGAAGUCUUGAGUACAGUUGAGGUAGGCGGAAUUCGUGGUGUAGCGGUGAAAUGCUUAGAUAUCACGAAGAACCCCGAUUGCGAAGGCAGCUUACUAAACUGUGACUGACAUUGAUGCUCGAAAGUGUGGGUAUCAAACAGGAUUAGAUACCCCGGUAGUC
rnacentral:rRNA from 1 species